rnacentral:rRNA from 1 species
CCUACGGGCGGCAGCAGUGAGGAAUAUUGGUCAAUGGCCGAGAGGCUGAACCAGCCAAGUCGCGUGAGGGAAGACGGCCCUACGGGUUGUAAACCUCUUUUGUCGGGGAGCAAAGCGAACCACGUGUGGUUCAUUGAGAGUACCCGAAGAAAAAGCAUCGGCUAACUCCGUGCCAGCAGCCGCGGUAAUACGGAGGAUGCGAGCGUUAUCCGGAUUUAUUGGGUUUAAAGGGUGCGCAGGCGGAGGUGCAAGUCAGCGGUCAAAUUGCGGGGCUCAACCCCGUACUGCCGUUGAAACUGCAUCCCUUGAGUGCGCGAGAAGUAUGCGGAAUGCGUGGUGUAGCGGUGAAAUGCGUAGAUAUCAGGAGGAAUACCGUUAGCGAAGGCGGCAAUCUGGCUGGAAACUGACGCUGAGGUGCGAAAGCGUGGGUAGCGAACAGGAUUAGAUACCCGGGUAGUC